rnacentral:rRNA from 1 species
UGCAGUCGACGGCAGCACGGGGGCAACCCUGGUGGCGAGUGGCGAACGGGUGAGUAACACAUCGGAACGUGUCCUGUAGUGGGGGAUAGCCCGGCGAAAGCCGGAUUAAUACCGCAUACGACCUGAGGGAGAAAGCGGGGGAUCUUCGGACCUCGCGCUAGAGGGGCGGCCGAUGGCGGAUUAGCUAGUUGGUGGGGUAAAGGCCUACCAAGGCGACGAUCUGUAGCUGGUCUGAGAGGACGACCAGCCACACUGGGACUGAGACACGGCCCAGGCUCCUACGGGAGGCAGCAGUGGGGAAUUUUGGACAAUGGGGGAAACCCUGAUCCAGCAAUGCCGCGUGUGUGAAGAAGGCCUUCGGGUUGUAAAGCACUUUUGUCCGGAAAGAAAACUUCCGCCCUACUACGGUGGGAGGCUGACGGUACCGGAAGAAUAAUCACCGGCUAACUACGUGCCAUCAGCCGCGGUAAUACCUAUGGUGCGAGCGUUGAUCGGAAUUACUGGGCGUAUAGCGUGCGCAGGCGGUUUGUUAGGACAGAUGUGAAAUCCCCGGGCUUAACCUGGGAACUGCAUUUGUGACU